UACGAAGGGAGCUAGCGUUGUUCGGAAUCACUGGGCGUAAAGCGCACGUAGGCGGAUUGUUAAGUCGGGGGUGAAAUCCUGAGGCUCAACCUCAGAACUGCCUUCGAUACUGGCAAUCUCGAGUCCGGAAGAGGUUGGUGGAACAGCUAGUGUAGAGGUGAAAUUCGUAGAUAUUCGCAAGAACACCAGUGGCGAAGGCGGCUCACUGGCCCGAUACUGACGCUGAGGCACGAAAGCGUGGGGAGCAAACAGGAUUAGAACGUACCGUCGUAGU
rnacentral:rRNA from 1 species